AGCGUGGAGACAGGUGGUGCAUGGCUGUCGUCAGCUCGUGUCGUGAGAUGUUGGGUUAAGUCCCGCAACGAGCGCAACCCUCACCCCUUGUUGCCAUCAGGUUAUGCUGGGUACUCUAGGGGAACUGCCCCGGUCAACGGGGAGGAAGGCGGGGAUGACGUCAAGUCAUCAUGCCCCUUACGUCCUGGGCUACACACGUGCUACAAUGGCCGGUACAAAGGGAUGCAACACCGCGAGGUAGAGCUAAACCCAAAAAGCCGGUCUAAGUUCAGAUUGGAGUCUGCAACUCGACUCCAUGAAGGAGGAAUCGCUAGUAAUCGCGUAUCAGCACGACGCGGUGAAUACGUUCCCGGGCCUUGUACACACCGCCCGUCACACCACGAAAGCCAGCUGUACUCGAAGUCGCUGAG
rnacentral:rRNA from 1 species